rnacentral:rRNA from 1 species
UACAGAGGGGGCAAGCGUUGUUCGGAAUUACUGGGCGUAAAGGGCGCGUAGGCGGCCUUCUAAGUCGAACGUGAAAUCCCCGGGCUCAACCCGGGAACUGCGUCCGAGACUGGGAGGCUUGAAUCCGGGAGAGGGAUGUGGAAUUCCAGGUGUAGCGGUGAAAUGCGUAGAUAUCUGGAGGAACAUCGGUGGCGAAGGCGGCAUCCUGGACCGGUAUUGACGCUGAGGCGCGAAAGCCAGGGGAGCAAACGGG